rnacentral:rRNA from 1 species
GUCUUGACGGUACCUAAUCAGAAAGCCACGGCUAACUACGUGCCAGCAGCCGCGGUAAUACGUAGGUGGCAAGCGUUAUCCGGAAUUAUUGGGCGUAAAGCGCGCGUAGGCGGUGUUUUAAGUCUGAUGUGAAAGCCCACGGCUCAACCGUGGAGGGUCAUUGGAAACUGGAAAACUUGAGUGCAGAAGAGGAAAGUGGAAUUCCAUGUGUAGCGGUGAAAUGCGCAGAGAUAUGGAGGAAC